AGUGGCGAACGGGUGAGUAAUACAUCGGAACGUGCCCGAUCGUGGGGGAUAACGAGGCGAAAGCUUUGCUAAUACCGCAUACGAUCUACGGAUGAAAGCGGGGGACCUUCGGGCCUCGCGCGGACGGAGCGGCCGAUGGCAGAUUAGGUAGUUGGUGGGGUAAGAGCCUACCAAGCCUGCGAUCUGUAGCUGGUCUGAGAGGAUGAUCAGCCACACUGGGACUGAGACACGGCCCAGACUCCUACGGGAGGCAGCAGUGGGGAAUUUUGGACAAUGGGGGCAACCCUGAUCCAGCCAUGCCGCGUGCAGGAUGAAGGCCUUCGGGUUGUAAACUGCUUUUGUACGGAACGAAAAGCCUUUUCCUAAUACGAAGGGGUGAUGACGGUACCGUAAGAAUAAGCACCGGCUAACUACGUGCCAGCAGCCGCGGUAAUACGUAGGGUGCAAGCGUUAAUCGGAAUUACUGGGCGUAAAGCGUGCGCAGGCGGUUUUGUAAGACAGAGGUGAAAUCCCCGGGCUCAACCUGGGAACUGCCUUUGUGACUGCAAGGCUGGAGUGCGGCAGAGGGGGAUGGAAUUCCGCGUGUAGCAGUGAAAUGCGU
rnacentral:rRNA from 1 species